rnacentral:rRNA from 1 species
UACGUAGGGUGCAAGCGUUGUCCGGAAUCAUUGGGCGUAAAGAGCGCGUAGGUGGUUUUGUGUGUCUGGUGUGAAAGCCCUUGGCUCAACCAAGGAAGUGCGCUAGAAACUGCAAAACUCGAGUUCGGGAGAGGAUGGUAGGAAUUCUCAGUGUAGAGGUGAAAUUCGUAGAUACUGGGAGGAACACCGGUGGCGAAGGCGACCAUCUGGACCGAUACUGACACUAAAGUGCGAAAGCGUGGGUAGCAACAGG